GCUAGCUCAGUCAGUAGAGCAUGAGACUCUUAAUCUCAGGGUAGUGGGUUCAUGGCUCACAUUGGGCA
rnacentral:tRNA from 1 species